rnacentral:rRNA from 1 species
UACAGAGGGUGCGAGCGUUGUCCGGAAUCACUGGGCGUAAAGGGCGCGUAGGCGGUCUGCUAAGCGUGUGGUGAAAGUCGGGGGUCAACCCCCGAUCGGCCGUGCGAACUGGGAGGCUUGAGCACUGUAGAGGCAGGCGGAAUUCCUGGUGUAGCGGUGGAAUGCGCAGAUAUCAGGAGGAACACCGGUGGCGAAGGCGGGUCUCUGGGCAGUAACUGACGUGAGGAGCGAAAAGCGUGGGGGAGCGAACAGG